rnacentral:rRNA from 1 species
GUUAUGGGGGGAACGCGAAGAACCUUACCAAAUCUUGACAUCCUUUGAAAACUCUAGAGAUAGAGCCUUCCCCUUCGGGGGACAAAGUGACAGGUGGUGCAUGGUUGUCGUCAGCUCGUGUCGUGAGAUGUUGGGUUAAGUCCCGCAACGAGCGCAACCCUUAAGCUUAGUUGCCAUCAUUAAGUUGGGCACUCUAGGUUGACUGCCGGUGACAAACCGGAGGAAGGUGGGGAUGACGUCAAAUCAUCAUGCCCCUUAUGAUUUGGGCUACACACGUGCUACAAUGGACAAUACAAAGGGCAGCUAAACCGCGAGGUCAUGCAAAUCCCAUAAAGUUGUUCUCAGUUCGGAUUGUAGUCUGCAACUCGACUACAUGAAGCUGGAAUCGCUAGUAAUCGUAGAUCAGCAGCAAGAUGACU